UACGUAGGGUGCAAGCGUUGUCCGGAAUUAUUGGGCGUAAAGAGCUCGUAGGCGGUUUGUUGCGUCGGCUGUGAAAUCCCGAGGCUCAACCUCGGGUCUGCAGUCGAUACGAGCAAACUAGAGUGUUGCAGGGGAGACUGGAAUUCCUGGUGUAGCGGUGAAAUGCGCAGAUAUCAGGAGGAAUACCCGUGGCGAAGGCGGUCCACUGGGCAUCAACUGACGCUGAGGCGCGAAAGCGUGGGUAGCAAACAGG
rnacentral:rRNA from 1 species